UACGUAGGGGGCAAGCGUUGUCCGGAAUUAUUGGGCGUAAAGAGCGUGUAGGCGGUCCGGUAAGUCAGCUGUGAAAGUCAAGGGCUCAACCCUUGAAAGCCGGUUGAUACUGUCGGGCUAGAGUCCGGAAGAGGCGAGUGGAAUUCCCGGUGUAGCGGUGAAAUGCGCAGAUAUCGGGAGGAACACCAAUGGCGAAGGCAGCUCGCUGGGACGGUACUGACGCUGAGACGCGAAAGCUAGGGGAGCAAACGGG
rnacentral:rRNA from 1 species